GGGGGCGACUUGGUUUCGACGUGGGUUACAAAGCCUUACGGUGCAUGUCGAGCAUGGUAACUAAGCUCGUAAAACCUGUUACUACUGUUAUAGUUGCAAACGACGAUAACCUCAUCUCCGUAGCUGCCUAAACAUCAGCUUGGAGCCAUCGACCAGAUGUGCUUAUGCGUCUGUCAUCUUUGGUCAUUUCACAUAAGAUCGCUAGUUAGGGUGACUGCCGUUAGCUAGUUAAACUUUGCAGAAUCGCGGUUUGAUUACCCUGUCGCUCGGGUAACAAGGCGUUAAAAACAAUAGAGUCGACUACACAUGUAGAGCUGAAGGUCGAGGAUUUGCGGACGCGGGUUCAAUUCCCGCCGCCUCCACCA
rnacentral:tmRNA from 1 species